UACGGGGGGGGGGUAAGCGUUGUUCGGAAUUACUGGGCGUAAAGGGCUCGUAGGCGGCCAACUAAGUCAUACGUGAAAUCCCUCAGCUUAACUGGGGAACUGCGUGUGAUACUGGAUGGCUUGGAUUUGGGGAGAGGGAUGCGGAAUUGACGGUGUAGCGGUGAAAUGCAUAGAUAUCGUCAAGAACACCUAUAGCGAAGGCAGCUUACUGGGCUG
rnacentral:rRNA from 1 species